rnacentral:lncRNA from 1 species
UGUACUCCAGCCUAGGCGAAAGAAUGAGAUAUCAUAUCAAAAAAAAAGAAAAGCAUAACUAUUAAAAUAAUUCGGAUAUUUAGAAAGUGGUAAAAACCACUUUGGAAAAACGUUUAGCAGUACAUGCUAACAUAAAACAUACAUCUAUCCUGCGACCCAGCCGUUCCUCUUCUGGACAUAUCCCCAACAGAACUGAGUGCACAUGUUCACAAAAAAGAUAUUUACAAGAAUGUGCAUAGCAGCUUUAUUCAUAAUAAUCUUCAAAUGGGAACAGCCCAAAUGUCUAUUCACAGGAGAAUAGAGAAAUAAAUUGUGGCAUAUUCAUAAAAUGGAAUACUACACAAAAGAGCACAUACUGUAUAAUUCCGUCUAUAUAAAGCUUAAAAACAGGCAAAUUAAUCUAUCAUGAUGGAAGCUAUAAUAGUGGUUACCUUUAGGUGCCCGAGUAUUGAUUACAAGUCUGGUGAGAUGCUGGGAGUGUUUGAUAUCUUGAUUUGGGUGGUGGUUACAGGUGUGCACAUGUGAAAAUUAAGCUGUACACUUAAAAUUUGUACCUUUUGCAAUAUGUAAGCCAUAUUUUCAUAAAAUAAUUGUAUACAAUGAUUACAUUAAAAAUGAAAUAAACUAGCUCAGUGCCGUGGGUGUCUAUAAUCCCAGCUACUUGGGAGGCUGAGGUGGGAGGAUGGCUUGAGUCGAGGAGUUCUGGGAUGCAGUGCACUAUGCUGAUUGGGUGUCCACACUAAGUUUGGCAUUGAUAUGGUGACCUCUGGGGAGUGGGGGAUCACCUAGUUGCCUAAGGAGAGGUGAACCGGCCCAGGUCAGAAAUGGAGCAGGUCAAAACUCUUGUGCUCAUCAGUAGUGGGAUUGAGCCUGUGAAUAGCCACUGUACUACAGACUGGGCAAUAUAGCAAGACCCCAUCUCUAAAAAAAAAUAAGUAAAAUAAAAUAAGAUAAAAUAAAAUAGUGAUAUGGUAACUCUGGUGAGGUAACCAUAGAUUUUUUCUGGGAGAAUGAGAUACAUACACGAGGGACAUCUGACCUAGUGUGCUGAAGGGGUUUGAGCCAUCUGGUCAAGAUUUGGAGGAUUUGGACAUGAGUCAAGAGGCAGUGUUUGUAGUCUAAAGAGUUGUUUGGGGCCAAAAGUAGGGCAGUGGGAAUGGAGAGAGACAGAAGUAAGGGCUUUUCAGAGGUAGAAUGAG